ACAUUGGAAUGAAAUUCACUACCAAAGAUCAAGACAAUGAUUUACAUGCGGAGGGAAAUUGUGCUGUUAUUUACAUGGGUGCAUGGUGGUAUUCCAAGUGUCAUUCAAGCAAUUUAAAUGGUCACUAUGGCGACAAGAGCUAUGCCAAAGGUGUGGACUGGUAUUCGUUUUCGGGACAUUACAAUUCGCUGACCUAUGUAAAAAUGAUGUUACGCCGUAAACGAGGAUAA